CACGGGUGCGUAACACGUACCUAACCUACCCAGAACUGGGGGAUAGCCCGCCGAAAGGCGGAUUAACACCGCAUAACAUCUACUGGUGGCAUCACUAGUUGAUUAAAUCUACGGAGGUUCUGGAUGGGGCUGCGGGUCAUUAGCUAGUUGGUAAGGUAACGGCUUACCAAGGCGACGAUGACUAGGGGAGCUGAGAGGCUGGUCCCCCACACGGGCACUGAGAUACGGGCCCGACUCCUACGGGAGGCAGCAGUAGGGAAUAUUGGGCAAUGGGCGAGAGCCUGACCCAGCCAUGCCGCGUGCAGGAAGAAGGCUUUCUGAGUCGUAAACUGCUUUUGAUAGGGAAGAAUAAGCACUACGUGUAGUGUGAUGACGGUACCUACAGAAUAAGCACCGGCUAACUCCGUGCCAGCAGCCGCGGUAAU
rnacentral:rRNA from 1 species